CCUACGGGAGGCAGCAGUGGGGAAUAUUGCGCAAUGGGGGGAACCCUGACGCAGCCAUGCCGCGUGAAUGAAGAAGGCCUUCGGGUUGUAAAGUUCUUUCGGUAUUGAGGAAGGAGUGUAUGUUAAUAGCUUACAUUAUUGACGUUAAAUACAGAAGAAGCACCGGCUAACUCCGUGCCAGCAGCCGCGGUAAUACGGAGGGUGCGAGCGUUAAUCGGAAUAACUGGGCGUAAAGGGCACGCAGGCGGUUAUUUAAGUGAGGUGUGAAAGCCCCGGGCUUAACCUGGGAAUUGCAUUGCAGACUGGAUCGCUAGAGUGCUUUAGGGGGGAGUAGAAUUCCACGUGUAGCGGUGAAAUGCGUAGAGAUGUGGAGGAAUACCGAAGGCGAAGGCAGCCCCUUGGGAAUGUACUGACGCUCAUGUGCGAAAGCGUGGGGAGCAAACAGGAUUAGAUACCCGGGUAGUC
rnacentral:rRNA from 1 species